rnacentral:rRNA from 1 species
ACGCUCGACACCUACGGGAGGUAGCAGUCGGGAAUAUUGCGCAAUGGAGGAAACUCUGACGCAGUGACGCCGCGUAUAGGAAGAAGGUUUUCGGAUUGUAAACUAUUGUCGUUAGGGAAGAAAAGGACAGUACCUAAGGAGGAAGCUCCGGCUAACUACGUGCCAGCAGCCGCGGUAAUCUGAGCGGGCUGGCAAGGC